rnacentral:rRNA from 1 species
GAGUUUGAUCCUGGCUCAGGAUGAACGCUGGCGGCGUGCCUAACACAUGCAAGUCGAACGGGGUCAUUAAGGAAAAAUCCUUCGGGAUUCGGAAUUCUUGACCUAGUGGCGGACGGGUGAGUAACGCGUGAGCAAUCUGCCUUUGGAUGGGGGAUAACAGCCGGAAACGACUGCUAAUACCGCAUAAUGCAGCAGGACCACAUGAUUUUGCUGCCAAAGAUUUAUCGUCCAAAGAUGAGCUCGCGUCUGAUUAGCCAGUUGGCGGGGUAACGGCCCACCAAAGCGACGAUCAGUAGCCGGACUGAGAGGUUGAACGGCCACAUUGGGACUGAGACACGGCCCAGACUCCUACGGGAGGCAGCAGUGGGGAAUAUUGCGCAAUGGGGGAAACCCUGACGCAGCAACGCCGCGUGAGUGAAGAAGGCCUUCGGGUUGUAAAGCUCUUUAAUCAGGGACGAAGAAUGACGGUACCUGAAGAAUAAGCUCCGGCUAACUACGUGCCAGCAGCCGCGGUAAUACGUAGGGAGCAAGCGUUAUCCGGAUUUACUGGGUGUAAAGGGCGUGUAGGCGGGCCUGCAAGUCAGAAGUGAAAUCUGGGGGCUUAACCCCCAAACUGCUUUUGAAACUGUGGGUCUUGAGUGAUGG